rnacentral:rRNA from 1 species
UACGGAGGGAGCAAGCGUUACUCGGAAUUAUUGGGCGUAAAGGGCGCGUAGGCGAUCCUGUAAGUCUCGUGUGAAAUCCCCAGGCUUAACCUGGGAACUGCAUCCGAUACUGGAUGGCUUGAAUCCGGGAGAGGGAUGCAGAAUUCCAGGUGUAGCGGUGAAAUGCGUAGAUAUCUGGAGGAAUACCGGUGGCGAAGGCGGCAUCCUGGACCGGCAUUGACGCUGAUGAGCGAAAGCUAGGGGAGCAAACGGGG